ACCAUUUAUAGGAGCGAAUGUCCUUUCCCCAUUGUAUCUUCUUGGCUCCUUUGCAUGGACUUAUUUCUAGCCUCACUUGAAAGAAAUCUUAAGACUCACAGAGCAUACUCACGUAAGGCCUUUAACUAAAGGCCACAGAGGCAGUGCAACAAGAAAAAGAGAAUGCAGACAAACAUUUGGGAUCCUGGAGACUUCCAAGGGCAAUCUCCCCAGGGUUCUUAUUCACACAUCACCUGCGUUCUGCCUUCAGAUUAAACUACCAAGAUCUGUGUAAGGACUUGUAGUUCUGGGAAAGCUCAAGAAAGAAGUUCCCCUCUGAGUUUUUAUUCCCCACUGGUCAUGUUUUCAAGUUAGGCUACCUAACUGGUUGUGCCGGUUGAAAACCAUGAGUCAACAACUGGCCCUAGAGGUUGCCAUGUGAGUUUAAACUUUAAACAGCACAUUAUCAAUUCCACUACUCUUGUCUUUGCCAAGAGUCAAAGGCAGACAACCAAGAGUCCCCAGAGAUAAGACUAUACAUUUUUUUAUCCAAUUCGGCUAUAAGGUUUAACAGGUUUUGGCUAUGUGACAAGAGAGGGAUAAAAGAACACUCAAUAAACUUGUGUCUUGAUUUCUCCAAGACUGAGAUACUGCACACACAACAUGAUGGUUCAUGUUCCAGAGACAGAGCAUGUCCUGCAUGAUUGGAAGAAGACCCUGGAAGAUAUGCAUGGACGUCUAGGAUCUUCCUGAUGUUUACCUGUGCUUUCUUUCUCCUGUGGUAUCAGAUUUUUUCCUUUAUUAAAACUUCACUUAAGUAUAA